rnacentral:tRNA from 1 species
GCCGAAGUGGCGGAAUUGGCAGACGCAGCGGACUCAAAAUCCGCCGGGCUAACACUCGUACGGGUUCGAGUCCCGUCUUCGGCACCA